UACGAAGGGUGCAAGCGUUAAUCGGAAUUACUGGGCGUAAAGGGUGCGUAGGCGGUUGUUUAAGUCUGUCGUGAAAUCCCCGGGCUCAACCUGGGAAUGGCGAUGGAUACUGGGCAGCUAGAGUGUGUCAGAGGAUGGUGGAAUUCCCGGUGUAGCGGUGAAAUGCGUAGAGAUCGGGAGGAACAACAGUGGCGAAGGCGGCCAUCUGGGACAACACUGACGCUGAAGCACGAAAGCGUGGGGAGCAAACAGG
rnacentral:rRNA from 1 species